GAGUAACACGUGGGUAACCUGCCCUAAAGUGGGGGAUAACAUUUGGAACAGAUGCUAAUACCGCAUAAACCUAACACCGCAUGGUGUAGGGUUGAAAGAUGGUUUCGGCUAUCACCUUAGGAUGGACCCGCGGUGCAUUAGUUAGUUGGUGAGGUAAAGGCUCACCAAGACCGUGAUGCAUAGCCGACCUGAGAGGGUAAUCGGCCACACUGGGACUGAGACACGGCCCAGACUCCUACGGAGGCAGCAGUAGGGAAUCUUCCACAAUGGACGAAAGUCUGAUGGAGCAACGCCGCGUGAGUGAAGAAGGUUUUCGGAUCGUAAACUCUGUUGUUGGAGAAGAAUGUAUCUGAUAGUAACUGAUCAGGUAGUGACGGUAUCCAACCAGAAAGCCACGGCUAACUACGUG
rnacentral:rRNA from 1 species